rnacentral:lncRNA from 1 species
UACUGGUGGUCGUGGCCAUUUUCGCCAUCUGCUGGCUGCCUUACCAGACGUACAACAUUCUCCAGGAGCUCUAUCCCGUCAUCAACCAGUAUCGCUACAUCAACGUCAUUUGGUUCUGCUCCCACUGGCUUGCCAUGAGCAAUUCCUGCUACAACCCUUUCAUUUACGCCAUUUAUAGCGAGAAGUUCAGCGCCGAGUUUCGGGCACGGAUGCGCUGCUGCUCGUCGAAGAGCAAGCAGGAGGAGGCCCGCUGCUACCGGCAGACGCCCACCUCCGUGUCGACGCGCUACUCGAUGCGAUCCUACUCCUGAGCAGAGGCCCCGCACCGCGACGAGACGCUACGCCCGGUGCAGG